rnacentral:rRNA from 2 species
UUGAAAGGGAAACGAUUGAAGUCAGUCGUACCGACGAGAAAUCAACUUAUCGUGUGCGAACUUGUGGGCGUGCGUGAGUUUCGGCCUCGCUGUUUGCAUGUUUGUGCGUUUUGGGUGUACUUUUUCGUAUGGUAGGCCAACGUCAGUUUCGAUUAUCAUAAAAUGACCGGCGGAAUGUAGCUUCGAUUUCGGUUGAAGUGUUAUAGCCUCUGGUAGAUGUGGUGAUUGAGACUGAGGAUUGCAACGAAUACCCUUUGGGCUAUCCGUCUGGCCUCUGAAAGUUGCUCAGGUGCCGAAAGCGUGCUUACGGUCAUCUAAGAUAACGUUCAACAGGUUAGAACGUGAUUACAUUCGUUAAGGAUGUUGACGUA